GAUGAACGCUGGCGGCGUGCUUAACACAUGCAAGUCGAACGGGAUCCCAGGGGUGCUUGCACUUUUUGGUGAGAGUGGCGAACGGGUGAGUAACACGUGAGUAACCUGUCCUUUUCUUUGGGAUAAGCAUUCGAAAGGGUGUUUAAUACCUUAUGUUCUGUCUGCCUCGCAUGGGGUGGGUGGGAAAGGCUUUGGCCGGAUUUGGGUGGGCUCGCGGUCUAUCAGCUUGUUGGUGGGGUGAUGGCUUACCAAGGCUUUGACGGGUAGCCGGCCUGAGAGGGUGGUCGGUCACAGUGGGACUGAGAUACGGCCCAGACUGCUGCGGGAGGGAGCAGUGGGGGAUAUUGCACAAUGGGAGAAAGCCUGAUGCAGCGACGCCGCGUGGGGGAUGAAGGCCUUCGGGUUGUAAACUUCUUUUGCUCUGAACAAGGCAUGCCAGUGGGUGUGUUGAGUGUAGGGGUUGAUUAGCGCCGGCUAACUACGUG
rnacentral:rRNA from 1 species